AUUGAACGCUGGCGGCAUGCCUAACACAUGCAAGUCGAACGGGGGUAGCAAUACCCUAGUGGCGGACGGGUGAGGAAUACGUAGGAAUUUGCCCUUAAGUGGGGGAUAACCCGGGGAAACCCGGACUAAUACCGCAUGAUCUCGUGAGAGCAAAGCAGGGGACCGCAAGGCCUUGCGCUUUUGGAGAAGCCUACGUCGGAUUAGCUAGUUGGUGGGGUAAUGGCCCACCAAGGCUACGAUCCGUAACUGGUCUGAGAGGAUGAUCAGUCACACCGGAACUGAGACACGGUCCGGACUCCUACGGGAGGAAGCAGUGGGGAAUAUUGGACAAUGGGCGAAAGCCUGAUCCAGCAAUGCCGCGUGUGUGAAGAAGGCCUUCGGGUUGUAAAGCACUUUAGGCUGGAAAGAAAAAGCUUUGGCUAAUAUCCAAAGCCUUGACGGUACCAGCAGAAUAAGCACCGGCUAACUCUGUGCCAGCCGCCGCUGUAACAC
rnacentral:rRNA from 1 species